rnacentral:rRNA from 1 species
GGUGAACGCUGGCGGCGUGCCUAAUACAUGCAAGUCGAGCGAACGGACGAGAAGCUUGCUUCUCUGAUGUUAGCGGCGGACGGGUGAGUAACACGUGGAUAACCUACCUAUAAGACUGGGAUAACUUCGGGAAACCGUAGCUAAUACCGGAUAAUAUUUUGAACCGCAUGGUUCAAAAGUGAAAGACGGUCUUGCUGUCACUUAUAGAUGGAUCCGCGCUGCAUUAGCUAGUUGGUAAGGUAACGGCUUACCAAGGCAACGAUGCAUAGCCGACCUGAGAGGGUGAUCGGCCACACUGGAACUGAGACACGGUCCAGACUCCUACGGGAGGCAGCAGUAGGGAAUCUUCCGCAAUGGGCGAAAGCCUGACGGAGCAACGCCGCGUGAGUGAUGAAGGUCUUCGGAUCGUAAAACUCUGUUAUUAGGGAAGAACAUAUGUGUAAGUAACUGUGCACAUCUUGACGGUUCCUAAUCAGAAAGCCACGGCUAACUACGUG